rnacentral:rRNA from 1 species
CAGCAGCCGCGGUAAUACGUAGGUGGCAAGCGUUAUCCGGAUUUAUUGGGUUUAAAGGGUGCGUAGGCGGCCUGUUAAGUCAGCGGUGAAAUCUAGGAGCUUAACUCCUAAAUUGCCAUUGAUACUGGCGGGCUUGAGCGUAGAUGAGGUAGGCGGAAUGCGUGGUGUAGCGGUGGAAUGCAUAGAUAUCACGCAGAACUCCGAUUGCGAAGGCAGCUUACUAAGGUACAACUGACGCUGAAGCACGAAAGCGUGGGUAUCAAACAGGAUUAGAUACCCCAGUAGUCCCUGUCUCUUAUAC